GGGAUUUUAGCUCAAUUGGGAGAGCGUACGACUGAAGAUCGUAAGGUCCCGUGUUCGAUCCACGGAAGUCCCA